GAUGAAGAACGCAGCGAAAUGCGAUACUUGGUGUGAAUUGCAGAAUCCCGUGAACCAUCGAGUCUUUGAACGCAAGUUGCGCCCGAAGCCAUUAGGCCGAGGGCACGCCUGCCUGGGCGUCACACAUCGUUGCCCCCCCAUCUACUCCUUCGGGAUUGCGGGGGGCGGAUGAUGGCCUCCCGUGCGCCUCGUCGCGCGGUUGGCAUAAAUGCCAAGUCCUCGGCGACGCACGCCACGACAAUCGGUGGUUGCGAAACCUCGGUUGCCCGUCGUGUGCGGUCGUCGCGCAUCGAGGGCUCGAAAAAAUUGCCGGGCUCCGGCUCGGCUUUCAACGCGACCCCAGGUCAGGCGGGGUUACCCGCUGAAUUUAAGCAUAUCAAUAAGCGGAGGA
rnacentral:misc_RNA from 1 species